rnacentral:rRNA from 1 species
AUUGAACGCUGGCGGCAGGCCUAACACAUGCAAGUCGAGCGCACGAAUUGUGCUUUCUCCUGGUUUCAGCGGCGGUGUGGUGUGUGAUGCCUAGGAAUCUGCCUGGUUGAGCUGGAUAACGUCCGGAGACGGGCGCUAAUACCGCAUACGACCUGAGGGUGAAAUUGGGUGUUCUUCGGACCUCACGCUAUCAGAUGAGUCUAGGUCGUAUUAGCUAGUUGGUGGGGUAAUGGCCUACUAAGGCGACUAACCGCAACUCGUCUGAGAGGAGGAUCAGUCAAACUGGAACUGAGACACGGUCCAGACUCCUACGGAGGGCAGAAGAGGGGAAUAUUGGACAAUGAGGGAAAGCCUGAUGCAGAAAGGCCGCGUGUGUGAGGAAGUUCUUCGGAUGGUAAAGUACGUUGAGUUGGGAGGAAGGGCAGUAGGUUAAUAACUUGAUGUUGUGACGGUACCAUAAGAAUAAGCACCGGCUAACUUCGUG